UACAGAGGUCCCAAGCGUUGUUCGGAUUCACUGGGCGUAAAGGGUGCGUAGGCGGUCGGGUAAGUCUGAUGUGAAAUCUCCAAGCCUAACUUGGAAACUGCAUUGGAUACUAUCCGGCUCGAGGAAUGGAGGGGAGACUGGAAUACUUGGUGUAGCAGUGAAAUGCGUAGAUAUCAAGUGGAACACCAGUGGCGAAGGCGAGUCUCGGGACAUUUCCUGACGCUGAGGCACGAAAGCCAGGGGAGCAAACGGG
rnacentral:rRNA from 1 species